rnacentral:pre_miRNA from 1 species
UGUGUACUCUCUUCGUUUAAAAUACUUAUCGAAGAAAUGGAUGUAUCUAUACAUAUUUUAGUUUUAGAUACAUUCAUUUUUAUCCAUUCUUCGACAAGUAUUUUCGGACGGAGGGAUUCUUAA